rnacentral:rRNA from 1 species
AGUGAACGCUGGCGGUAGGCCUAACACAUGCAAGUCGAACGGCAGCACAGGAGAGCUUGCUCUCUGGGUGGCGAGUGGCGGACGGGUGAGGAAUACAUCGGAAUCUACUCUGUCGUGGGGGAUAACGUAGGGAAACUUACGCUAAUACCGCAUACGACCUACGGGUGAAAGCAGGGGACCUUCGGGCCUUGCGCGAUUGAAUGAGCCGAUGUCGGAUUAGCUAGUUGGCGGGGUAAAGGCCCACCAAGGCGACGAUCCGUAGCUGGUCUGAGAGGAUGAUCAGCCACACGGGAACUGAGACACGGUCCAGCCUCCUACGGGAGGCAGCAGUGGGGAAUAUUGGACAAUGGGCGCAAGCCUGAUCCAGCCAUACCGCGUGGGUGAAGAAGGCCUUCGGGUUGUAAAGCCCUUUUGUUGGGAAAGAAAUCCAGCUGGCUAAUACCCGGUUGGGAUGACGGUACCCAAAGAAUAAGCACCGGCUAACUUCGUGCCAGCCGCCGCAGUAA